rnacentral:rRNA from 1 species
GACGAACGCUGGCGGCGUGCUUAACACAUGCCAGUCGAACGGAAAGGCCCUGCUUUUGUGGGGUGCUCGAGUGGCGAACGGGUGAGUAACACGUGAGUAACCUGCCCUUGACUUUGGGAUAACUUCAGGAAACUGGGGCUAAUACCGGAUAGGAGCUCCUGCUGCAUGGUGGGGGUUGGAAAGUUUCGGCGGUUGGGGAUGGACUCGCGGCUUAUCAGCUUGUUGGUGGGGUAGUGGCUUACCAAGGCUUUGACGGGUAGCCGGCCUGAGAGGGUGACCGGCCACAUUGGGUCGGAGAGACGGCCAAGGCUCCGACGGGGGGAAGGGGGGGGGAAUUUGGCAAAAGGGGCGGAAGCCUGAGGCAGCAACGCCGGGUGCGGGAUGACGGCCUUCGGGUUGUAAACCGUUUUCGCCUGUGACGAAGCGUGAGGGGGGGUAAUGGGUAAAGAAGCACCGGCUAACUCGGU